CUACUCUUGACAUCCAGAGAAUUCGCUAGAGAUAGCUUAGUGCCUUCGGGAACUCUGAGACAGGUGCUGCGUGGCUGUCGUCAGCUCGUGUUGUGAAAUGUUGGGUUAAGUCCCGCAACGAGCGCAACCCUUAUCCUUUGUUGCCAGCGAGUAAUGUCGGGAACUCAAAGGAGACUGCCGGUGACAAACCGGAGGAAGGUGGGGAUGACGUCAAGUCAUCAUGGCCCUUACGAGUAGGGCUACACACGUGCUACAAUGGCAUAUACAAAGAGAAGCGAACUCGCGAGAGCAAGCGGACCUCACAAAGUAUGUCGUAGUCCGGAUUGGAGUCUGCAACUCGACUCCAUGAAGUCGGAAUCGCUAGUAAUCGUAGAUCAGAAUGCUACGGUGAAUACGUUCCC
rnacentral:rRNA from 1 species